rnacentral:rRNA from 1 species
GAGUUUGAUCCUGGCUCAGGAUGAACGCUGGCGGCGUGCCUAAUACAUGCAAGUCGAGCGAACUGAUUAGAAGCUUGCUUCUAUGACGUUAGCGGCGGACGGGUGAGUAACACGUGGGCAACCUGCCUGUAAGACUGGGAUAACUUCGGGAAACCGAAGCUAAUACCGGAUAGGAUCUUCUCCUUCAUGGGAGAUGAUUGAAAGAUGGUUUCGGCUAUCACUUACAGAUGGGCCCGCGGUGCAUUAGCUAGUUGGUGAGGUAACGGCUCACCAAGGCAACGAUGCAUAGCCGACCUGAGAGGGUGANCGGCCACACUGGGACUGAGACACGCCCCAGACUCCUACGGGAGGCAGCAGUAGGGAAUCUUCCGCAAUGGACGAAAGUCUGACGGAGCAACGCCGCGUGAGUGAUGAAGGCUUUCGGGUCGUAAAACUCUGUUGUUAGGGAAGAACAAGUACGAGAGUAACUGCUCGUACCUUGACGGUACCUAACCAGAAAGCCACGGCUAACUACGUGCCAGCAGCCGCGGUAAUACGUAGGUGGCAAGCGUUAUCCGGAAUUAUUGGGCGUAAAGCGCGCGCAGGCGGUUUCUUAAGUCUGAUGUGAAAGCCCACGGCUCAACCGUGGAGGGUCAUUGGAAACUGGGGAACUUGAGUGCAGAAGAAAAAGCGGAAUUCCACGUGUAGCGGUGAAAUGCGUAAAGAUGUGGAGGAACACCAUGGCGAAGGCGGCUUUUUGGUCUGUAACUGACGCUGAGGCGCGAAGCGUGGGGAGCAAACAGGAUUAAAACCCUGGUAGUCCCCCCGUAAACGAUGAGUGCUAAGUGUUAAAGGGUUUCCGCCCUUAAGUGCUGCAGCUAACGCAUUAAGCACUCCGCCUGGGGAGUACGGUCGCAAGACUGAAACUCAAAGGAAUUGACGGGGGCCCGCACAAGCGGUGGAGCAUGUGGUUUAAUUCGAAGCAACGCGAAGAACCUUACCAGGUCUUGACAUCCUCUGACAACUCUAGAGAUAGAGCGUUCCCCUUCGGGGGACAGAGUGACAGGUG